UAUUUGCAAUAAACUUUGAAAAACAAGCAUAUUUCUUGUAUUACACCUACUAAUAAAGAAAUAUUUCAAAAUAUGCACUGGCAAUAAGCUGUACAAAGUGGAAUAUAUUCAAAGAUCGCAAUUGUUCAAAAAGUCUUUAAUAGUCACUCUAAUAGAUCAAAUUGACUUAUGGCCACCAUAUCAAAUUACUUCACCCACAUUUUCCUACACAUUCAAAACAAAAUUAAAAUUAGAAAUAAUAUAUAGUAUGUAUUCAUAUAGAAUCAUGAAUAUGCAAGACCAUGGAUUGAAAGAACUUGACUAACUAGCAUCGGCGUCCAUUGGUUCUAUUACAAUUGAACAAAUAGAACACAAGUUUUGUAUCACUUGGAUCGUAUCACUAAUGAUCAAUAAUUAGCCCUUUAACAUCAGUUAGCUGCUCCGGAUGUGAAAGGAAAAGAAGAUACUUUCAGUCAGUUAUAUUUUUGUAUUGUCAUCAGCACUUCCUUUGGUGCUUGUGUGAAAAAUAUAUAUUAGAAAACUGAAGGAAGAAAAGAAAUAUGCUUUCCAAUUUAUGUACGUCAUGUCCAUUACAGGAAGACAAAUAUAUUGUUCUUACUUUACAUAAUGGGUUAUCUCUUCAUUUUUCCCAAUUCAACUUGACCACUUUACCAUCUCAACAUUAGUUGAUAGUAAUACUACUCUAUGCUCUUUUAACAUAUUUUUCCUUAGCUACUCAUUUUUUCAGCAUUUUAAACUAUAUUAUAGACUCCUUUUUUUAUAAGGAUAUACUAUAGAUACUUCUCUAUAGAAUUUUAAACAACUGGUGUCUAACCUUUUAUGCAAACAAGAAAAAGGAUCAAGUUUGGCAUUGUACUAUCUAAAAUUGACCUAAAAGGAAUGUAAUCUGUCAUUGUAACUCCAGAAAAUAACUUGAUAUAAUUUUAAAAAAAUACCUUUUCAAGAAUCAGACAUAAGUUGAACCAGAGGAAUGUGGAAGAAUUUUGCCUCACAUAACUCGUGCACUACUCACAUCGACCGAAGAAGGUAGGUUAGAUUAGACACACCCUGUUAUAUCCUAUUGUCAAGAUGUUUCGUAGAAAGUGAAGACAAAAAAGGCAAUACAUAAUAUCUAUCUAGAUGUAUAAAGAGAAAAGUGUUACGGAGGUAAAGACUAAAAUACAGUAUAGUUAAUCUUAAUAUGCAUAUAAAUAGAGAUCACUAUGACAGACUUUCUAUGUGAGUUUAAAAGAUUGGAUUAUAGUAAGAUUGGAUUAUAGUUUCAAGGAUAGAAUCAAGCAAUUAUCUUAUUAUAUAUGUCUUAAAUUUUUUUCUUUUUCCAUCAUUGUAAUGGAUAACAAAACACUUCACAGAAAUUAUAAACUUGUGCACAAAAGAUAUUACUAACAGCCCUUGAUUGCAUGUCAGUUUUCUCAAUAUCUCAACUUUUUCGAAGUUCUUACUCUAUCCAUUUCCUACUUGAUUUUCCUUCAUACUUAAGACAUUUUCUUAUUCAAUUUUGUAGGUGCAACUUUAGGUACCUUCUUGUUUCCACUAUUAUUCUCUCAGUUUAUCAGUUUAAUUUGACAAAAGUAAAAAUAAAGAGGAGAAGGUCAAGUUAGACUUGAAAGUUAUUGGAAGACUACAAGGUCAUAAGAACAACUAGAUAUUCUUAUGCUAAUAUUAAGCAAAUAAAGGAUUUUAGUGAAUACUUAGGAGAAGGAAGUCGUGGCAUUGUUUACAAAGGCAAACAUUCCCAGAAAAUCUAUGUUGCAGUAAGAGUCCUACGUAAUUUAAAGGCUAAAGGAGUAGAAUUAAUCAACCACAAUCAUUAUAUAUAAAAAUGAAAGUAGUAGGAAAAGCGUACCCGAUAUCACUACUGGGAGUGAGUCUCCGAGCACAGGCCUUUUUUUUAUUAAAACAAAAAAGUAUUCUUUUUUUUACAAUAAACUUUCAAUAAUGAUUAGAAAGGAGGUUUAUAAACAAACAAGUGUACUCUCUUUUAUUAGAAGUUUAUAAACUUCUAAUAAGAUCAUUAUGUAAACUAUAACCAUAACAAUAACAACAUGGCUUCUAUAGAUAUAAUGCAGAACAUUGCUUUUUCUAAAGAUGGCACACCCAAAGUUUGAAUGCCCCGGUGGAUUAUAUAUUUACUAUCAACUACUCCCCCUACAACAAUUUCAAGUUCCUUAUAAGAGUUAGAUAUACAUUAAGUUUUCUCCACAGGAGUAAGAUGUCUGAACUGUUUAGGUUCAUCCCACAAUUCCAAAGAAAAUUCGGAAGUAGCUUAGUUGUCAAUUUUUUUUCCAUAUUGUUAAGUUCAAAACGCUAUAUGCUUCCAAUUUUCUACCAAAUUUGGCACGAAAUAGCUUGUUGAACUAAAGCUCGCUUCUGAUUAAUGAAGAAUUUUCAAGAAAUCCUUUAUUUAAGGCAGAAUACAUUAUAUUCCUAUGGAGACUUACAUUUAGUUUUCUCUUUAGAGGUCCAAACUAUUUUGCAAGGUCAUAUAAAGCUAUCAUAUUGCAUCAAAAUUAUAUACUCCCUCCGUUCCAGUUUAUGUGAACCUAUUUUCUUUUUAGUCCGUUUCAAAAAGAAUGACUCCUUUCUAAAUUUAGAAAUAAUUUUGCUUAAACUUAUAAUUCUACCCUUAAUGAGAAGCUUUUAUAAUCACACAAAUAUUCUCAGUCCCUUUUUGAAUUGUUUAGGACCACAAAUUUCAAAAGUUUUCAUUUUUUCUUAAACUCCGUGCCCAGUCAAACAGGUUCACAUAAAUUGGAACGGAUGGAGUAGUAUUUAAGAUAUAGAACUUUCAAUUCUUGAAAUAAAAAUUACAAACAAAUGACAAAUUGACAAAGAAACAGACAGUAAAACAAGAACAAAAAGGGCGUUCCCUUAAGAAGAAAAGGAAUUCUAGAGUACCGAAAUCGCAAAGCCACUAAACUGAAAGGAUGUUUUAGAGAAAUCUUACCCACAAGUUUUUGGGAGACAAGAUCAGCCCUACGUACAUCGAAAUCCCCAAAUUAGCAUGCCAAUGGAAUCGAUCUCAAAGCUUGCAGAUGGAAUCGAUUCGAAAACGUGAUAAUGAAACAAAUAGCACAUAACACAAGCCAACGAAGACAUAACAGCACAGAACGACACAAUGGAACAAUAUUCAUACGAUCAGAAAGAGUUUCAAGAAGAGACAACCCAGAUUGACAUUCUAAUUGAAUCGAUUUCUCGCUGAUGGAAUUAGAACUUUAUUUUUUUCUAAAUAACAAGAAGAAAGAAAAAGAGCAGCAGGGAUAAUUGCCUCUUAGUACUACUUUUCCCCAAAAACCCCACUCCUACUAGACUUUUGCCGGGC
rnacentral:lncRNA from 1 species